rnacentral:ribozyme from 11 species
AUGAAAAUGAAAAAAAAACAAGGAAUAACGAGUUACGUUUCCUUUUCGUAUGGGUGUGGUGUUGGUGUUCUUUCGAUUCUUUUUGUUGGACUGCUACAUCAUCCUUUUUACUUCCUACUGCUGCCACUAUUUCUA